rnacentral:rRNA from 1 species
UACGUAGGGGGCAAGCGUUGUCCGGAAUUACUGGGCGUAAAGGGCGCGUAGGCGGCCAGCACAAGUCAGUUGUGAAAUCUCCGAGCUUAACUCGGAAAGGUCAACUGAUACUGUGCGGCUAGAGUGCAGAAGGGGCAACUGGAAUUCUUGGUGUAGCGGUGAAAUGCGUAGAUAUCAAGAGGAACACCUGCGGCGAAGGCGGGUUGCUGGGCUGACACUGACGCUGAGGCGCGAAAGCUAGGGGAGCGAACGGG